GCAGUAGUCAUAUGCUUGUCUCAAAGCUUAAGCCAUGCAAGUCUCAGUACAGACUAUAUUAAAGUGAAACCGCAAAAGGCUCAGUAAACCAGUUUUAAUUUACUAGAGUUAACUUGACUGUGCUUGGAUAACUGUGGUAAUUCUAGAGCUAAUACAUGCAACAAAGCCGUGACCAUUCGUGGUCAGGGCGCUUUUAUUAGACCAAGACCAAUCGCCCGGCCAGUCCGGGCGUUAAGUUGAGGAACCUAGAUAACACAGCAGAUCGCAUGGUCUUUGUACCGGCGACCUAUCUUUCAAAUGCCUGACUUAUCAACUGACGAUGGUAGACUCUGUGUCUACCAUGGCUGUUACGGGUAACGGGGAAUCAGGGUUCGAUUCCGGAGAGGGAGCCUGAGAAACGGCUACCACAUCCAAGGAAGGCAGCAGGCACGCAAAUUACCCACUCCCGGAACGGGGAGGUAGUGACAAAAAAUAACGAUACGGGACUCGAUAUGAGGCCUCGUAAUCGGAAUGAGUACACUCUAAAUCCUUUAACAAAAAUCUAUUGGAGGGCAAGUCUGGUGCCAGCAGCCGCGGUAAUUCCAGCUCCAAUAGCGUAUAUUAAAGUUGUUGCGGUUAAAAAGCUCGUAGUUGGUUCUGCGUCCCGCGCUGUCGGUACACCGUUUGUCGGUGACACUGGCAUGACGCGGGAUGUCCUGUCGGUGGCGGCGGAGACCAUAUCGCCGUCGGCUAACACCGCGGCGUGUUGGCCUUCUGUCGCCGGCUUUAUCCUACCGCGGUGCUCUUCACUGAGUGUCGAGGUAGGCCGACACGUUUACUUUGAACAAAUUAGAGUGCUUAAAGCAGGCAAAAAUCUCUGCCAGAAUAGUGGUGCAUGGAAUAAUGGAACAGGACCUUGGUUCUAUUCUGUUGGUCUCCGGAACACAAGGUAAUGAUCAAUGUGGACAGGCGGGGGCAUUCGUAUUGCGGCGUUAGAGGUGAAAUUCUUGGAUCGUCGCAAGACGCACUAGAGCGAAAGCAAUUGCCAAGUAUGUCUUAAUUGAUCAAGAACGAAAGUUAAAGGUUCGAAGGCGAUCA
rnacentral:rRNA from 1 species